rnacentral:lncRNA from 1 species
CCCGAGGUCUGAAACUAUGGCUACGGCGCCGCAACCCCCGCCGUCUUCGAGGCCAGAGGCAACCACCCCAACGCUGCAGCGCUCGCCAUCGCCGAGGCCUGAGACCACGACUACGACGCCGCAAGCUCCGCCGUCGCCGAGACCUGUGGCAGCGGCCCUGCUGCAGCGCGCGAUAUCGCCGAGGCCCGUGACUACGACUCCGACGCCGGAACCUCCGCCGUCGUCGAGACCUGUGGCGGCAACCCCAUCGCUGCAGCGCUCGCCAACACCGACGCUCGAAACUACGUCUCCAACACCGACUCCGACGCUGCCACCCCUGCCGUCCCCGAGCCCUGUAGCGGCGGCGACCCUCUCCCCGGCUCCUCCUCAAUCUCCCA